GUCGAGUUGCCAGAGUGGUUAAUGGGUAUGACUCGAACUAAAGCAUGAUAUCAUAUGGCUUCGGCCGCGCAGGUUCAAAUCCUGCACUCGACG
rnacentral:tRNA from 1 species